GAAAGUAAGCAAGGGCGCAUGGCGGAUGCCUUGGCUCUCGGAGGCGAUGAAGGACGUGAUAAGCUGCGAUAAGCUUCGGGCAGGUGCAAAUAACCUUUGAUCCGAAGAUUUCCGAAUGGGACAACCCGUCAUUCUGAAGGAAUGACAUCUUGCAUAGCAAGAGGCUAACGCAGGGAACUGAAACAUCUUAGUACCUGUAGGAAAAGAAAAUAAUAAUGAUUCCCCUAGUAGUGGCGAGCGAACGGGGAUUAGCCCAAACCAAUGUUGUUACGGCAAUAUUGGGGUUGUAGGACCACGCUCUCGCAAGAAGUUUAGUGAGAAGAACCCUUUGGAAAAUGGGACCAUAGACGGUGAUAGUCCGGUAUUCGAAGCUAAAUGAAGCGUAGUGGUAUCCUGAGUAGCGCGGGACACGAGGAAUCUUGCGUGAAUCUGCCGGGACCAUCCGGUAAGGCUAAAUACUCCCGAGAGACCGAUAGCGAACCAGUACUGUGAAGGAAAGGUGAAAAGCACUUCGAAUAGAAGAGUGAAAUAGUCCCUGAAACCGUGCGCCUACAAGCGGUCGGAGCUGCUUCAGCAGUGACGGCGUGCCUUUUGCAUAAUGAACCUACGAGUUACUUUUUCCGGCAAGGUUAAGGAUCUUGAGAUCCGCAGCCGAAGCGAAAGCGAGUCUUAAUAGGGCGAUUAGUCGGAAGGAGUAGACGCGAAACCAAGUGAUCUACCCUUGGUCAGGUUGAAGGUUAGGUAACACUAACUGGAGGACCGAACCGAUAAGCGUUGAAAAGCUUCCGGAUGAACUGAGGGUGGGGGUGAAAGGCUAAUCAAACUUGGAGAUAGCUCGUACUCCCCGAAAUGCAUUUAGGUGCAGCCUUGGGAAUUACUACUGUGAGGUAGAGCGACUGAUAAGAUGCGAGGGCUUCACCGCCUAUCAAGUCUUGAUAAACUCCGAAUGCGCAGUAGUUCGAUCCCAGGAGUGAGGGCAUGGGUGCUAAGGUCCAUGUCCUAAAGGAGAAGAAUCCAGACCAUCAGCUAAGGUCCCGAAAUAAUUGCUAAGUUGAACUAACGAAGUCAGAUUGCUAAGACAGCUAGGAUGUUGGCUUGGAAGCAGCCAUUCAUUUAAAGAGUGCGUAACAGCUCACUAGUCGAGGAGUUUGGCGUGGAUAAUAAUCGGGCAUUAAGCAAUUUACCGAAGCUAUGGGAUGUUAACUAAACACUAACAUCGGUAGGGGAGCAUUCCACUCUGCGUCGAAGGUGAAGCGUGAGCUUUGCUGGAGCGUGUGGAAAAGCAAAUGUAGGUAUAAGUAACGAUAAAGGGGGUGAGAAACCCCCUCGCCGAAAGACUAAGGUUUCCUGAUCAACGCUAAUCGGAUCAGGGUUAGUCGGGUCCUAAGGCUCAGCCGAACGGUGAGGCCGAUGGCAGAACAGGUUAAUAUUCCUGUACUACCUUAAGGAGUGACGUGGAGACGGAGGAGUGACAACGCCGCGGACUGACGGAAUAGUCCGUUGAAGGGUGUAGAUGUUGAUUAUCCCAGGCAAAUCCGGGAUAAGAGUCGAACCUGAUAGUAUACCAAAUUCUUCGGAAUAAGGUAAUAGUGCGUGUAAGCAUACUCCCAAGAAAAUCCGCUAAACUUAAUCUUUAAGGUACCCGUACCGCAAACGGACACACGUAGUCGGGUUGAAUAUACUAAGGCGCUUGAGUGAUUCACGGUUAAGGAACUAGGCAAAUUGACCCUGUAACUUCGGGAUAAAGGGUCCCAACGAGAGUUGGGCGCAGAGAAUAGGUCCAGGCAACUGUUUAACAAAAACACAGGGCUGUGCUAAAUUGAAAGAUUACGUAUACAGCCUGACACCUGCCCGGUGCUGGAAGGUUAAGAGGAGAUGUCAUCGCAAGAGAAGCAUUGAAUUGAAGCCCCAGUAAACGGCGGCCGUAACUAUAACGGUCCUAAGGUAGCGAAAUUCCUUGUCGGGUAAGUUCCGACCUGCACGAAUGGUGUAAUGAUCUGGACACUGUCUCAACCGUGAGCUCAGUGAAAUUGUAGUAUCGGUGAAGAUGCCGAUUACCCGCGAUGGGACGAAAAGACCCCGUGAACCUUUACUAUAGCUUAACAUUGAAUUUGGGUAAUUGAUGUGUAGGAUAGGCCGGAGACUUUGAAGCAGGUACGCCAGUAUUUGUGGAGUCGCUGUUGAAAUACGGCCCUUUGAUUAUUUGAGUUCUAACUCGUAGAUACGAGGACACUGUUUGGUGGGUAGUUUGACUGGGGUGGUCGCCUCCAAAAGUGUAACGGAGGCUUCUAAAGGUGCCCUCAGGACGAUUGGUAACCGUCCGUAGAGUGUAAUGGCAUAAGGGCGCUUGACUGGGAGACAGACAAGUCGAUCAGGUAGGAAACUAGAGCAUAGUGAUCCGGUGUUUCCGUAUGGAAGGGACAUCGCUCAAAGGAUAAAAGGUACUCCGGGGAUAACAGGCUGAUCCCUCCCAAGAGCUCAUAUCGACGGAGGGGUUUGGCACCUCGAUGUCGGCUCGUCACAUCCUGGGGCUGGAGAAGGUCCCAAGGGUUGGGCUGUUCGCCCAUUAAAGUGGCACGCGAGCUGGGUUCAGAACGUCGUGAGACAGUUCGGUCUCUAUCUAUCGUGGGCGUAUGAAAUUUGCGUGGCUCUGACACUAGUACGAGAGGACCGUGUUGGACUGACCGCUGGUUUACCAGUUGUGCCGCCAGGUGCAUUGCUGGGUAUCUAAGUCGGGAUUGGAUAAGUGCUGAAAGCAUCUAAGUACGAAGCCAGCCACAAGAUUAGAUUUCUUAGGGUCGUCAAAGACGAUGACGUUGAUAGGAUGCAGGUGUAAAGGUGGUAACAUCAAAGCCGAGCAUUACUAAUUGCCCGUUCACUUUCUUUC
rnacentral:rRNA from 1 species